rnacentral:rRNA from 1 species
AUACGGAGGAUGCGAGCGUUAUCCGGAUUUAUUGGGUUUAAAGGGUGCGUAGGCUGUGCGUUAAGUCAGGGGUGAAAUGCCGUCGCUCAACGACGGAGCUGCCCUUGAUACUGGCGUGCUGGAGUACGGAUGCCGUUGGAGGAAUGAGUGGUGUAGCGGUGAAAUGCUUAGAUAUCACUCAGAACACCGACUGCGAAGGCAUCUGACGAAUCCGUCACUGACGCUGAGGCACGAAAGCGUGGGGAUAGAACAGGAUUAGAUACCCUGGUAUUCCACGCCGUAAACGAUGAUGACUAACCGUCGGCGAUAGACAGCCGGUGGCCAAGCGAAAGCGAUAAGUCAUCCACCUGGGGUGUACGUCGGCAACGAUGAAACUCAAAUGAAUUGACGGGG